rnacentral:rRNA from 1 species
UACGGGGGGUGCGAGCGUUGCUCGGAAUUAUUGGGCGUAAAGCGUACGCAGGCGGCUCUGCAAGUCGAGGGUGAAAUCCCGGGGCUCAACCCCGGACUUGCCUUCGAAACUGCCGGGCUUGAGUGCGGGAGAGGGAAGCGGAAUUCCUGGUGUAGAGGUGAAAUUCGUAGAUAUCAGGAGGAACACCGGUGGCGAAAGCGGCUUCCUGGCCCGAUACUGACGCUCAGGUACGAAAGCGUGGGGAGCAAACAGG